GUGUUUACAAUUCAUCAUACAACAGACAUAUCUACCUAGUUGUCGCCUUGCCGUAUAUGUUAUACCUUUGUUAUCGUUUUUCAUCAGUGAUGCCAACAAAUAUUUUAUUAUAAUGAAAAUAACAAUUAUAUUUUAGUGUUCAAUGAUAACGUGUGCAUAAGAGCAUUAUUUUUGUUUUAUUGAUAUAUAUGUGUUUGUAAAUUUAAUCCAAGUCGAGACUUAAUUUGGUUGCACACAUAUUAGGC
rnacentral:lncRNA from 1 species